rnacentral:rRNA from 1 species
GAUGAACGCUGGCGGCGUGCCUAACACAUGCAAGUCGAGCGAAGCGCUCGGGAGGAAGUUUUCGGAUGGAAUCCUGAAUGACUGAGCGGCGGACGGGUGAGUAACGCGUGGGUAACCUGCCUCAUACAGGGGGAUAACAGUUGGAAACGGCUGCUAAUACCGCAUAAUGCAUCGGAUUCGCAUGUUCCUGAUGCCAAAGAUUUUAUCGCUGAAAGAUGAACUCGCGUCUGAUUAGCUAGUUGGCGGGGUAACGGCCCACCAAGGCGACGAUCAGUAGCCGGACUGAGAGGUUGAACGGCCACAUUGGGACUGAGACACGGCCCAG